GCGCGGGUGAUGUAACUGGUAGCCAUCUACGAUUGAGGUUCGUAGGCCGUAAGGCGUGGGAGUUCAAGUCUCCCCCCGCGCA
rnacentral:tRNA from 1 species